GAUGAACGCUGGCGGCGUGCCUAAUACAUGCAAGUCGAGCGAACGGACGAGAAGCUUGCUUCUCUGAUGUUAGCGGCGGACGGGUGAGUAACACGUGGAUAACCUACCUAUAAGACUGGGAUAACUUCGGGAAACCGUAGCUAAUACCGGAUAAUAUUUUGAACCGCAUGGUUCAAAAGUGAAAGACGGUCUUGCUGUCACUUAUAGAUGGAUCCGCGCUGCAUUAGCUAGUUGGUAAGGUAACGGCUUACCAAGGCAACGAUGCAUAACCGACCUGAGAGGGUGAUCGGCCACACUGGAACUGAGACACGGUCCAGACUCCUACGGGAGGCAGCAGUAGGGAAUCUUCCGCAAUGGGCGAAAGCCUGACGGAGCAACGCCGCGUGAGUGAUGAAGGUCUUCGGAUCGUAAAACUCUGUUAUUAGGGAAGAACAUAUGUGUAAGUAACUGUGCACAUCUUGACGGUACCUAAUCAGAAAGCCACGGCUAACUACGUG
rnacentral:rRNA from 1 species